rnacentral:rRNA from 1 species
GAUGAACGCUGGCGGCGUGCCUAAUACAUGCAAGUCGAGCGAACAGACGAGGAGCUUGCUCCUCUGACGUUAGCGGCGGACGGGUGAGUAACACGUGGAUAACCUACCUAUAAGACUGGGAUAACUUUGGGAAACCGUAGCUAAUACCGGAUAAUAUAUUGAACCGCAUGGUUCAAUAGUGAAAGACGGUUUUGCUGUCACUUAUAGAUGGAUCCGCGCCGCAUUAGCUAGUUGGUAAGGUAACGGCUUACCAAGGCGACGAUGCGUAGCCGACCUGAGAGGGUGAUCGGCCACACUGGAACUGAGACACGGCCCAGACUCCUACGGGAGGCAGCAGUAGGGAAUCUUCCGCAAUGGGCGAAAGCCUGACGGAGCAACGCCGCGUGAGUGAUGAAGGUCUUCGGAUCGUAAAACUCUGUUAUUAGGGAAGAACAAAUGUGUAAGUAACUAUGCACGUCUUGACGGUACCUAAUCAGAAAGCCACGGCUAACUACGUG